rnacentral:rRNA from 1 species
GAUGAACGCUGGCGGCGUGCCUAAUACAUGCAAGUCGAGCGAACAGAUAAGGAGCUUGCUCCUUUGACGUUAGCGGCGGACGGGUGAGUAACACGUGGGUAACCUACCUAUAAGACUGGAAUAACUCCGGGAAACCGGGGCUAAUGCCGGAUAACAUUUAGAACCGCAUGGUUCUAAAGUGAAAGAUGGUUUUGCUAUCACUUAUAGAUGGACCCGCGCCGUAUUAGCUAGUUGGUAAGGUAACGGCUUACCAAGGCAACGAUACGUAGCCGACCUGAGAGGGUGAUCAGCCACACUGGAACUGAGACACGGUCCAGACUCCUACGGGAGGCAGCAGUAGGGAAUCUUCCGCAAUGGGCGAAAGCCUGACGGAGCAACGCCGCGUGAGUGAUGAAGGUCUUCGGAUCGUAAAACUCUGUUAUUAGGGAAGAACAAAUGUGUAAGUAACUGUGCACGUCUUGACGGUACCUAAUCAGAAAGCCACGGCUAACUACGUG